CCUACCUAUCGUGUGACUCCACUCCUGGGAAGGAAGGAAGUGGGAAGGGAACAGAAACUGAAGAAAUACACUAAGCAGUAAGCACAACCAAACCAUGAAUGCAACAAUGGGUGGUUCUCUAUUCCUCUUCCCUUCUUCUUCUUCUUCUUCUUCAUUAACAGUCUCCAAAACAACCUUAUCUUCCUCUUCUCCUUCCAUGUCCCUAAUUUCCACCACCGCCCGCCACCGCCGCCGCGCCCCUAACCGGUCCUUCCCUCGUUCUCUCAUAAUUGAGACCGUCCAAGGCCAAACCUCGGACGGCAAGGACAAGGAGGAGGAGGAGGAGGAGGAGGAGGAGGAGGAAUCUCGUUCGGAAUCGGUUUCUCGGCGGCGCCUAAUCCUCCUUCGUCACGCAAACAGUUCAUGGGAGGAUCGUUCAUUGCGAGAUCAUGAUCGCCCUUUGAGUAGAACUGGACAAUCUGAUGCUAUUGAAGUUUCACAAAAGCUCCAGAAGUUGGGUUGGAUUCCUGAACUUAUUUUGUCCAGUGAUGCAGUCCGAACAAGAGAAACACUUAAGAUUAUGCAAGAGCAAGUGAAAGGAUUUUUGGAAGCUGAGGUGCAUUAUAUUUCGAGCUUUUAUUCAAUCGCAGCAAUGGAUGGACAGACAGCUGAGCACCUUCAACAUGCCAUCUGUAAAUUUUCAAGGGAUGAGAUACUUACAGUUAUGUGUAUGGGGCAUAAUAGAGGAUGGGAGGAGGCAGCCUCAAUGUUCUCAGGUGCCUCCAUAGAGCUAAAGACUUGCAAUGCUGCUUUGCUUGAAGCUACCGGGCAAUCUUGGGAAGAGGAUAUCUGAGGUUGUUGAUCGUCCGGUGCUUCAUAGUUCAUUCUCAUGAGGCCACCCGCUCUCUUACCAACCGACUGACCUAGGAAGGAGAGGCUCAAGACAUGGAAAGCAUUGACCAAGGCAUUUUCUUUGGCAGGAUUUGGCGGGUGGAAGCUCCAGGGCAUUGUGAAGCCCACUUCUAGUCUGUAGAAUUGUGUUUUUCUAUGGGGAGCAUGAGAUGUAUCUGGUUCAAUGAUAACAAGGCUAUUCAGUUGUCGCUGAGAAAAUUAAACAGGUCUCACUCCCUUGAUCAAGCAGCAUUUCUGUUUUAUGGCUUUUCCAAUAUCGGGAGGAGCUCGACUGAGGGUUUAGAUAUAGCUUUUACAGCAGACAUGGAUGGCUGGAAUGACAUUCAAACUUUUUUCCCUGCGUGUGUCAGAGAAAGAGAGAGAGAUUUUAUUCUCCAUGUAUAGUCAGCCAAUUUUGUAAGUUCGAUUCAUCAACCGUAAGAUAUAAAGUUACCUAAGAACUAUGAAAUCUUCAUUGCCAUA